CAAAAACAUGUCUUUUAGAUAAAAAUUAAAAGUCUAGUCUGCUCAAUGAUAAAUUUAAAUAGCUGCAGUAAUUUGACUGUACAAAGGUAGCAUAAUAAAUAGUUUUUUAAUUGGGAACUUGAAUGAAAGAUUGAAUGAAAUAUUUACUUUUUUAAUUUUAAUAAAAUUGAAUUUAAAUUUUAAAUUAAAAUGUUUAAAUUUAAUAAAGGGACGAGAAGACCCUAUAAAACUUUAUAAUAUAUUUAAAUAAAAAUUAAUAUUUAUAAUUAUAAAUUAAGUUAUUUUAUUGGGGUAAUAUUAAAAUUUGAUUAAUUUUUAAUUUAUUAAAACUUAAAUUAAUGGUUAAAUUAUUAUAAAUUUUAUAAUAAAAAUAAAGUUACUUUAGGGAUAACAGCGUAAUAAUUUUGGUAAGUUCAUAUUUAAAAAAUUGAUUGCGACCUCGAUGUUGA
rnacentral:rRNA from 1 species